CCUACGGGUGGCAGCAGUGAGGAAUAUUGGUCAAUGGGCGCGAGCCUGAACCAGCCAAGUCGCGUGAAGGAAGACGGUCCUAUGGAUUGUAAACCUCUUUUGUCAAGGAACAAAGUGAGGCACGUGUGCCUUUCUGAGUGUACUCUAUGAAAAAGCAUCGGCUAACUCCGUUCCAGCAGCCGCGGUAAUACGGAGGAUGCGAGCGUUAUCCGGAUUUAUUGGGUUUAAAGGGAGCGUAGGUGGGUAGAUAAGUCAGUUGUGAAAUUGGGAGGCUCAACCGUCAGAUAGCAGUUGAUACUGGUUGUCUUGAGUACGCGUGAGGUAGGCGGAAUUCGUGGUGUAGCGGUGAAAUGCAUAGAUAUCACGAAGAACUCCGAUUGCGAAGGCAGCUUACUAGAGCGCCACUGACAUUGAUGCUCGAAAGUGUGGGUAUCAAACAGGAUUAGAUACCCUAGUAGUC
rnacentral:rRNA from 1 species